rnacentral:rRNA from 1 species
UACGGAGGGUGCAAGCGCUAAUCGGAAUUACUGGGCGUAAAGCGUGCGUAGGCGGCCUGUUAAGUCAGAUGUGAAAGCCUCGGGCUCAACCUGGGAACGGCAUUCGAAACUGGCAAGCUAGAGUUAGGUAGAGGGAAGUGGAAUUUCAGGUGUAGCGGUGAAGUGCGUAGAUAUCUGAAGGAACACCAGUGGCGAAGGCGGCUUCCUGGACCCAGACUGACGCUGAGGUACGAAAGCGUGGGUAGCAGACAGG